AAAGAACCCUAAGCUUGCAAUCAGAAGGACCCAGUUCAAGUCCUAGUGUUUUCCUCUUGCCAGCUAUGUAAAAUUGGACUAUGCCUUAUCCUUUCUGAGUUUCAUUUUCCUUGUUAUUAAAAUAGAGGUGAUACUUCAACUUCCUACUUAAAUAGAAUCUCAGGAUCAAAGGAGUGCCUUCUCUGCCCAUGACUUACAUUUUCCUACAAAUGAUGAAAUUUGUUGGCAUUUAUUGAGUGAUUUUUGCAUGUGAAAAAGGAUGUACCAAAGGUAAAUUUUCUUGAAAACAUUUAACUAAGGAGGCUUUUAACAUAAUUUCUCUUAUUUAAGAGAGAAUGAUUAUUACUACAGUAUACUGAACUGAAAGGCUUUGAAAUACAUUUCAGUAGAAACUAAUGACUCUUUCCUUUCAGUAUCUUUGUCACAAUUAAGAUUGAGCAAAAGUUCAUGUCAGCGAGGAAUUGUUCAAGCUACUAAAUUUUGCUUUAUUUGAAUGCAACCAAAACGUCUCAUAUAUCUCUUGAAGGUUAUUUUAAUUCUCCAUUUUCCAUCAUCCAAAAUCCUGAAUGAAGACUCAAAGAGACAUGGUGUCUUUUAGAAUUUUACUGCUCAGCAGCUUUAUGGCACAAAAAACAUUUUUAUCACCACCAACUGGCUCAGGAAUCUGAAACUAAGCUGCAGCGGUAGGAACAGAGACCUAACUCGCAGGCAGUCUUGAGUCUUAAGGAAAACAGAAAGAAACAAACCCCAAAAUCUAAAAAAUAAAUAAAGGCAAAAACAAUUUCA
rnacentral:lncRNA from 1 species